rnacentral:rRNA from 1 species
GAUGAACGCUGGCGGCGUGCUUAACACAUGCAAGUCGAACGGAAAGGCCCUGCUUUUGUGGGGUGCUCGAGUGGCGAACGGGUGAGUAACACGUGAGUAACCUGCCCUUGACUUUGGGAUAACUUCAGGAAACUGGGGCUAAUACCGGAUAGGAGCUCCUGCUGCAUGGUGGGGGUUGGAAAGUUUCGGCGGUUGGGGAUGGACUCGCGGCUUAUCAGCUUGUUGGUGGGGUAGUGGCUUACCAAGGCUUUGACGGGUAGCCGGCCUGAGAGGGUGACCGGCCACAUUGGGACUGAGAUACGGCCCAGACUCCUACGGGAGGCAGCAGUGGGGAAUAUUGCACAAUGGGCGGAAGCCUGAUGCAGCAACGCCGCGUGCGGGAUGACGGCCUUCGGGUUGUAGACCGCUUUCGCCUGUGACGAAGCGUGAGUGACGGUAAUGGGUAAAGAAGCACCGGCUAACUACGUG